rnacentral:rRNA from 1 species
CCCGCUGAACUUAAGCAUAUUACUAAGCGGAGGAAAAGAAAUCAACGAAGAUUGCCUCAGUAGCGGCGAGUGAAGCGGCAAUAGCUCAAGUUUAGAAUCGGGGGCCGUCUCGGUCUUCGAAUUGUAAUCUAAAGUGAAUAACAAAAGGGGAUUUGGAAGCAUAAGUUCCUUGGAACAGGACAUCACAGAGGGUGAAAAUCCCGUAUGUAGCUUCCAUUGAACCGAAUGUUGUUUAUCCAAGAGUCGGGUUGUUUGGGAUUGCAGCCCUAAAUGGGAGAUAAACUUCUUCUAAAGCUAAAUAUCUAUGGGAAACCGAUAGCGAACAAGUACUGUGAAGGAAAGGUGAAAAGAACUUUGAAAAGAGGGUUAAAAGACUUGAAAUCGUUGAGAAGGAAGCAGUAGAAGUGGAUUUACGUUAGCUAUGAAGCAAUCCAAGGAGCGACUCAAUCGUAGUAGUGAUGUACGUUAUUGGCUAGCGGCUACGACUUGGGCACUUUGUGGGGAUUUCAUAGUUAGAGGGCAGGACCAGGUCUAAUUUUGCUGGAGUCAGUUGAGGGAAAGCCCUGCCUUCUGGUAGAAUCCCUUUUCAAAACAGUAAACUGGCCUGAGGAAAAAGGUCCUGCCACAACGGCUUCUACUGACCCGUCUUGAAACACGG